rnacentral:rRNA from 1 species
GAUGAACGCUGGCGGCGCGCCUAACACAUGCAAGUCGAACGAUUAAAGCACCUUCGGGUGUGUAUAAAGUGGCGAACGGCUGAGUAACACGUGGGCAACCUGCCCCUUUCAUUGGGAUAGCCACGGGAAACCGUGGAUAAUACCGAAUACUUCGAGACUUCCGCAUGGAAGACUCGAGAAAGCUCCGGCGGAGAGGGAUGGGCCCGCGGCCUGUUAGCUUGUUGGUGGGGUAACGGCCUACCAAGGCAAUGAUGGGUAGCUGGGUUGAGAGACCGACCAGCCAGAUUGGGACUGAGACACGGCCCAGACUCCUACGGGAGGCAGCAGUGGGGAAUCUUGCACAAUGGGCGAAAGCCUGAUGCAGCGACGCCGCGUGCGGGAUGAAGGCUUUCGGGUUGUAAACCGCUUCCAGCAGGGACGAGGCGAAAGUGACGGUACCUGCAGAAGAAGCCCCGGCUAACUACGUG